rnacentral:rRNA from 1 species
GGGUCAGUAGGUUGGCCGUGCCACUGGUACGUACUGGUCUCACUGAUUCCUCCUUCCUGAAGAACCGUAAUGCCAUUAAUUUGGUGUUGCGGGGAAACAGGACUGUUACUUUGAAAAAAUUAGAGUGUUUAAAGCAAGCUAACGCUCGAAUACAUUAGCAUGGAAUAAUGAAAUAGGACGAUCGAUCCUAUUUUGUUGGUUUCUAGGAUUGACGUA